AGUUCUGCAAACACAUCCUGCAGCAGAUCGACGACGCCAGCAGAGCGCUGAGGACUCGUUGGUUUAUUCUGCACCGACUUUUUCUAAGAUUAGAACGGACAAAAGAGAGAAGAGAAAAGUUAAAGCAGCAACAGAAGAGACGAUCUACACCGGGGUCAGAACUCCUCCGACUGGCUAAAUAAAAGAUAUGCUUAAAACAUUAAAUAAUUGAUUUGUAUAUUUUUAAAGACUGUGAGAAAUGUAAAACCUUGCAGCAAUGUGACAAUAAGAAGAGAAUAUCCUUUGUAAUUUUUGAACUGUGUAUGAUUUGACAUGUUUUGACUCAUCUGUGUUCAGUCAUUGUUAGAUUGGUUUUAUCACCAAAGGUAGAGUAUUAGCACCAUAAACAAUAUAUGCAGUCGUGCACUAAACUAAA